rnacentral:rRNA from 1 species
UGAAGCCCUUCGGGGUGGAUUAGUGGCGAACGGGUGAGUAACACGUGGGCAAUCUGCCCUUCACUCUGGGACAAGCCCUGGAAACGGGGUCUAAUACCGGAUAACACUCUGUCCCGCAUGGGACGGGGUUGAAAGCUCCGGCGGUGAAGGAUGAGCCCGCGGCCUAUCAGCUUGUUGGUGGGGUGAUGGCCUACCAAGGCGACGACGGGUAGCCGGCCUGAGAGGGCGACCGGCCACACUGGGACUGAGACACGGCCCAGACUCCUACGGGAGGCAGCAGUGGGGAAUAUUGCACAAUGGGCGAAAGCCUGAUGCAGCGACGCCGCGUGAGGGAUGACGGCCUUCGGGUUGUAAACCUCUUUCAGCAGGGAAGAAGCGAGAGUGACGGUACCUGCAGAAGAAGCGCCGGCUAACUACGUGCCAGCAGCCGCGGUAAUACGUAGGGCGCAAGCGUUGUCCGGAAUUAUUGGGCGUAAAGAGCUCGUAGGCGGCUUGUUGCGUCGGUUGUGAAAGCCCGGGGCUUAACCCCGGGUCUGCAGUCGAUACGGGCAGGCUAGAGUGUGGUAGGGGAGAUCGGAAUUCCUGGUGUAGCGGUGAAAUGCGCAGAUAUCAGGAGGAACACCGGUGGCGAAGGCGGAUCUCUGGGCCAUUACUGACGCUGAGGAGCGGAAAGCGUGGGGAGGGAACAGGAUUAGAUACCCUGGUAGUCCACGCCGUAACGUUGGGAGCUAGGUGUUGGGCGACAUUCCACGUCGUCGGUGCCGCAAUAACGCAUUAAGUUCCCCGCCUGGGGGAGUACAGCCGCAAGGCUAAGA